UACAGAGGUCUCAAGCGUUGUUCGGAUUCAUUGGGCGUAAAGGGUGCGUAGGCGGCGUGGUAAGUCGGAUGUGAAAUCUCGGAGCUUAACUCCAAAACUGCAUUCGAUACUGCCGUGCUUGAGGACUGGAGAGGAGACUGGAAUUUACGGUGUAGCGGUGAAAUGCGUAGAUAUCGUAAGGAAGACCAGUGGCGAAGGCGGGUCUCUGGACAGUUCCUGACGCUGAGGCACGAAGGCCAGGGGAGCAAACGGG
rnacentral:rRNA from 1 species